GAUCCUGGCUCAGAUUGAACGCUGGCGGCAUGCUUUACACAUGCAAGUCGAACGGCAGCAUGGGGGCAACCCUGAUGGCGAGUGGCGAACGGGUGAGUAAUAUAUCGGAACGUACCCGAGAGUGGGGGACAACCAGUCGAAAGAUUGGCUAAUACCGCAUACGAUCUACGGAUGAAAGUGGGGACCGUCGGUCCGUCACGCUCCUCGGAGGCGGCCGGACUAGCUGAUUAGUCGUAGUUGGUUGGGGG
rnacentral:rRNA from 1 species